CCCUUAGAUGUUCUGAGCCGCACGCGCGCUACACUGAUGCAUUCAACGAGUCUAAAACCUGCUCUGAUAGGGGUGGGUAAUCUUUUGAAUGUGCAUCGUGAUUGGGAUAGAUGAUUGCAAUUUUUCAUCUUCAACGAGGAAUGCCUAGUAAACGCAAGUCAUCAGCUUGCAUUGAUUACGUCCCUGCCCUUUGUACACACCGCCCGUCGCUCCUACCGAUUGAAUGAUCCGAUGAAUAUCAUGGAUUGAGGAUGCAAGUAGGUUAGCCUAUCUUCAUCUUCGAGAAGUGAAGUAAAUCUUAUCAUUUAGAGGAAGGAGAAGUCGUAACA
rnacentral:rRNA from 1 species